UACGUAGGGGGCAAGCGUUGUCCGGAAUCAUUGGGCGUAAAGCGCGUGUAGGCGGUCCGGUAAGUCCGCUGUGAAAGUCGGGGGCUCAACCCUCGAAAGCCGGUGGAUACUGUCGGGCUAGAGUGCGGAAGAGGCGAGUGGAAUUCCUGGUGUAGCGGUGAAAUGCGCAGAUAUCAGGAGGAACACCAAUUGCGAAGGCAGCUCGCUGGGACGUUACUGACGCUGAGACGCGAAAGCUAGGGGAGCGAACAGG
rnacentral:rRNA from 1 species